rnacentral:rRNA from 1 species
UACGUAGGGAGCAAGCGUUGUCCGGAAUCAUUGGGCGUAAAGCGCGCGUAGGCGGCCCUGUAAGUCCGUUGUGAAAGUCCAGGGCUCAACCCUGGGAUGCCGGUGGAUACUGUCGGGCUCGAGUCCGGAAGAGGAGUGUGGAAUUCCUGGUGUAGCGGUGAAAUGCGCAGAUAUCAGGAGGAACACCAAUGGCGAAGGCAGCACUCUGGGACGUGACUGACGCUGAGACGCGAAAGCGUGGGGAGCAAACAGG